rnacentral:rRNA from 1 species
AAUGAACGCUGGCGGCGUGCCUAACACAUGCAAGUCGGAUGUGCCCGCAAGGGUGCAUGGCAGACGGGUGAGUAACGCGUGGGGAAUCUACCUUUUAGUGGGGAAUAACGCUCCGAAAGGAGUGGUAAUACCGCAUGUGACCAUCGGCUGGGAUGCUGAUGGUGAAACCCUGGGACCUUCGGGCCAGGGGCUAGAAGAGGAUCCUGCGUCUGAUUAGCUAGUUGGCGGGGUAACGGCCCACCAAGGCGACGAUCAGUAGCCGGCCUGAGAGGGUGAUCGGCCACACUGGAACUUAGACACGGUCCAGACUCCUACGGGAGGCAGCAGUGAGGAAUCUUGCGCAAUGGGCGAAAGCCUGACGCAGCGACGCCGCGUGGGGGAUGAAGGUCUUCGGAUUGUAAACCCCUUUCGGGAGGGAAGAUGGAACGAGCAAUCGUUCGGACGGUACCUCCAGAAGCAGCCACGGCCAACUUCGUGCCAGCAGCCGCGGUAAAGUCGUC